AACUUCGCUCCUGAGGUCCCGGCCCCGGAUGAUUCUCCCGGUCCAAAGCCUCGUGUGCCUCGCUGCCUUCGGCCUGGCCCUGCCCCUGGCCAUCAGCCUCUUCCCGCAGAUGUCCGAGAUCGAGACGUCGCAGCUGGAGCCGGAGAUCGCCAUGGCCACCACCAGUAAGACUGUGGUCUACAACAAAGGGCUGUGAGUGCCGGAGGAGCACCUCAGAAGGUCUGGGGAGGGAAGAGGAGAAGCUCCAGACCCCGCCUGGGAGAAAGCAAACAACAACAACAACAGCAACAAGAUGAAAUAAUAGAGCUCAGUGAUAGGAGCUGCUCCCGGCAGCCCGGGAGUGAAUUAACACCUGCAGAGAACUAACACCUCACACCGCUCGGAAAGAUUAAUAUUAAAAAGUUUUCACUUAGCGACGGGAGCAGCCAACUACAACAAAUAAAACCACCGUGAAACACU